UACGUAGGGGGCUAGCGUUGUCCGGAAUCAUUGGGCGUAAAGAGCGUGUAGGCGGCUCGGUAAGUCCGCUGUGAAAGUCCAGGGCUCAACCCUGGAAAUCGCCAGUGGAAACUGUCGAGCUAGAGUCCGGAAGAGGCGAGUGGAAUUCCUGGUGUAGCGGGUGAAAUGCGCAGAUAUCAGGAGGAACACCAAUGGCGAAGGCAGCUCGCUGGGACGGUACUGACGCUGAGACGCGAAAGCGUGGGGAGCAAACAGG
rnacentral:rRNA from 1 species